UACGUAGGGUCCAAGCGUUGUCCGGAUUUAUUGGGCGUAAAGAGCUCGUAGGCGGUUCGGUAAGUCGGAUGUGAAAACUCAGGGCUCAACCCGAAGACGCCAUCCGAUACUGCUGUGACUGGAGUCUGGUAGGGGAUCACGGAAUACCUGGUGUAGCGGUGAAAUGCGCAGAUAUCAGGUGGAACACCGAUGGCGAAGGCAGUGAUCUGGGCCAGUACUGACGCUGAGGAGCGAAAGCGUGGGGAGCAAACAGG
rnacentral:rRNA from 1 species